rnacentral:rRNA from 1 species
UACGUAUGGGGCGAGCGUUAUUCGGAUUCAUUGGGCGUAAAGCGUUUGUAGGUGGUUUGUUAAGUUGAAUGUGAAAUUUCCGGGCUCAACCCGGAACCUGCAUUCAAAACUGGCAGACUUGAGUUCAGAAGAGGAUAAUGGAAUUCCAGGUGUAGGGGUGAAAUCUGUAGAUAUCUGGAAGAACACCAGUGGCGAAGGCGAUUAUCUGGGCUGAAACUGACACUUAGAAACGAAAGCCAGGGGAG